UCCUGCAAUCACCGUUACUGUAAAUCACCUCAUCAUCAAUCAAUGUUGCUCUUUAAUCCCUUCUUGAUGGUUUCGUUCCAUCUCCCAUUGAUCCUCCUCUUACAUAAGUCGCUUCAUCUAAACAUAAAAAUCAAGCCAAAAUCGAAAACCUCCACUAACGAAACUACAGUUACGACCAUGAAAUCCACCAGAAAGUUUCCCUCUCCACCGGCAAGUCUCAUGUCGCCGAAGUUUCGCCAGGACCAGCCGAAUUUGAACUAAAUUUUGGUUAAUCCAUUUUUGGGAGGCAAAAAACAUUGCAAAAAUUGGCUUAGAGCUGCUAUGAUCAAGAUGGAUGUCGCUUCAGAGGGUACCAAUCUCACGACGAAGUUCUUGCAUCCUAAUGAUCGUUGUAUCUAGGAGAUCGAUGUUGAGUUGGAGGCUAAACAGAAGAAAUAUCUUCCCAGACAAAGACAUAAUUAAGAGUCAUUGAAUGAUGAAACUAAAGACUCAGCUUGCUUCACGAGAAAAUUUUACGUCAAAUCUGCAAAAGCUCCUGCUAGAAUCGGAAAGGUAAAGUUGCUCCUUUGCACAUGUAAGAAUUACAAUUAACUUGGCAAAGGAUGAUGUUUGGGUAAGAUUGUGUUUUCUUUAGGCUUUUUUUUUUUUUUUAAAUUCUUAGAUAUCAUUUGAUUACUGUUUUGGUUUUUAGGGGAAGUUGUGGCUUCUGGAUCAACUAUUCAAGAAGCAUGUCUAUGGAGUGUACGUUUUUGGCCAUAUUUACUGCUAAAUAUUUACAAGUUUAACCCCGACCUGUUAUAUUGUUUGAGUAGGCAUAACUCCUUACCAACUAGAAAAUUACGGUAGCUAUAUGUUUACACUUUGGUGCAUAUUGCUAAUGAUUGAUGACACAGGCGUGCUGGUGGUGAAAAGAUGUACAACGUGUUUCAUAACCAAUUUCUGGUAGCUCUGAAGAGACUUCAAGUUGACAACUUCAAGUUGACAAGCAGGAACUGGUUCACAAGUCUGCUAAUGAGAUAGUUAUGGUUUCAACAUAUACACGAAUUAAAGCAAUACCCAUUGGCCAUAUUCGCCUCAUAAAUGGGGACAACCUAGACACUCAGACACCCAUGACUUCAAAGACACUAGGAGGUGUGUUCGUUUAUUUGAAGAUACCAACUUUGUUUGCUUCCGUGAUAUUUUCAUCUAAAGCAUUGAGGACUGCUAACUUCCGCUGGGUCGCUGAGUCGAAAAGCUUUUGUGGUUAUCUCAGAUCCGAUUGUUGCAAUGCAUGUCCUCCGAGAAAACAUUUCCUCAUCACAAGUGAAUUCUUACUGAGAUCUUAGAGCUGGUUAUGAGGAAAGUGUUGGUACCAGUAGACCUUAGUUACUUGGAAGUUAAGAAGCAGAGCUGAAACUCAUGAUUCCCUACAUUGUAUGAUUGUAUCUAGAAGCUAUGGUCAAAAUAUUUAGUGCCUGUUCAGAGGAAAUGAUACUGAAGUCUAAGAAACUCUUAAGAGAGAGAGAAGUCUCAAGCAGAGGGGACAUCAUCAAGUUGGAUCUUGAAGUAAAAUUCUAGAGUCCCUUCACAUCAUAGGGCUAAGGUUUUUGAUUUUUGAGUGUACUCUUCACCAAGUUUUUAUAGUAAGCUGAUCCAUUCUUAAAUUUUUCUAUUACAUCACAUGCAGUUUAUGAAAACUCUUUUUUUGAGGCAGAGCAUUCCUCUACUUUCUACUUCAUGUAUUGUGAUAUGGAAGUUUUCUCCAGCCAUAUGAAUCGUUCCGAGGCAAAGGCGAAGGUCCAAAGCCAUCUGAAGAUUAUAAAUGAUAGCCUUGGUGUUCGGUCCUCACUUUGUAAUUUUCCCAAGCAGGAUAUAGAUAUUGAGAAAUUUCAGCAAAGGGACUACUCAAAUCUCAAAUUUGAAGUAAAUUAAUUUAUUUCCGCAUAGGUCAUCGACAAUUCUUAAAAUAAGACUUACUAGAAGAGCAUGUAACAUUUUUCUCUUUUUAGUUUCUCAUCUAAUAGUGUCAUUUUAUUGGCAUGUCUGCUAAA